UGCAGUCGAGCGAUCUUAAGGUGCUUGCACCUUUUGAUUAGCGGCGGACGGGUGAGUAACACGUGGGCAACCUGCCUGUAAGACUGGGAUAACUUCGGGAAACCGGAGCUAAUACCGGAUAAUCCUUUUCCUCUCAUGAGGAAAAGCUGAAAGUCGGUUUACGCUGACACUUACAGAUGGGCCCGCGGCGCAUUAGCUAGUUGGUGAGGUAACGGCUCACCAAGGCGACGAUGCGUAGCCGACCUGAGAGGGUGAUCGGCCACACUGGGACUGAGACACGGCCCAGACUCCUACGGGAGGCAGCAGUAGGGAAUCUUCCGCAAUGGACGAAAGUCUGACGGAGCAACGCCGCGUGAGCGAUGAAGGCCUUCGGGUCGUAAAGCUCUGUUGUUAGGGAAGAACAAGUACCGGAGUAACUGCCGGUACCUUGACGGUACCUAACCAGAAAGCCACGGCUAACUACGUGCCAGCAGCCGCGGUAAUACGUAGGUGGCAAGCGUUGUCCGGAAUUAUUGGGCGUAAAGCGCGCGCAGGCGGUCCUUUAAGUCUGAUGUGAAAG
rnacentral:rRNA from 1 species